GGAGUGGGCGCUCCUUGUUUCCUUGGGAGGCUGCGGGGCUCGUAAUGGGGCAGCUCUUGGCUAAGCUCCUGAGCGUCUUCGGAAGCCGCGAGCAUAAAGUGAUAAUUAUUGGCUUGGACAAUGCUGGAAAAACCACCAUCCUCUACCAGUUCCUUAUGAAUGAGGUUGUCCACACAUCACCUACAAUUGGCAGCAAUGUGGAAGAAAUUGUCUUGCGCAAGACACACUUCCUGAUGUGGGACAUUGGUGGACAGGAAACCCUGCGAUCUACCUGGAACACCUACUAUUCCAACACUGAGUUUGUUAUUCUUGUGAUCGACAGCACAGACCGCGAACGGUUGACAGUGACAAAAGAGGAGCUGUACAAGAUGCUAGCUCAUGAGGAUCUUCGUAAUGCAGCUGUGCUGAUAUUUGCUAACAAGCAGGACAUCAAAAAUUCCAUGUCUACCUCUGAGAUCUCAAAGUUCCUCACCUUGAGCUCCAUCAAAGACCAUCCAUGGCAUAUUCAAGGAUGCUGUGCUCUUACAGGAGAGGGGUCAGUAGUAUUGCAUACAUAGAUCUUCCAGUAAGGUGGGAAGAUAACUGGAGUCCUUCACAUAUGGAACCUCUUACCAUAAUGAACAGAGAUGAAAAAAAAUCUCAGGCUCAGAACUGGAAAUAACAAACUGGUGAGCCUUCCAGCUGGCUUAGAAUGGAUGAUUUCUCGAGUUGCAAGCAAGUGAUAUUAGCCAAAGCCCCUGGAGAGAAGGCGGAGAGGAACCUUGUGCGUAUUUAUUUCUACUUUGCAACACUCUCAGGACUUAUUGGACAUUUUUUGGCUUCUUCUAGUUUUUCAAAGCCAAUAUAACUUAAUUUUAUAUGCCAUUAAAGUAUACCGAAUAUUAUAGAAGGUGAUGAUGAAAUGUGCCUGUACAGAAAAGGAAUGGAAGAUUCCAGUUGUAUCAGGUCUUGCCGCACAGAGAAGAGAAACAUACUUCAUACCAUUACAGACAGGUGAUACACUGAACAUCUUUCUCCCUGACCCUUUCCUGACAUGCUUUAAAAUGUCAGCCUCAUGAACAUAAAGACAGUUCUGAAAAACUGUGGAACAGAAAAGACAAGCAGUGUUUUCAGCCUUCUUUUCACUCCAGAAAUCUUUGCCUUAUCAUGUGGGAUCAGCAAACGUGGGAUCAACAAAAGCUCACCUUGACUUUUUCUGAUGGUCUCUGGCCAUAAGAUGGGCUAAUUGGAAGCACAAGAGUAAGUCUAGGAGGAGACCUCUGUUCUCUGAUUCCCCUUAUUCUUCAAGGAUUAUUCUCAUGUCUUUGUGGAUCAUAUGCAACAGAAUAAUCAAGAUGCUGCUGGUUUACCCAUUGGUGCUUCCCCCUUUCAGUCCCUUUUUUGGGCAGAGUUCUGCCUUUUUAACAAUAUCUGACUUUUUAAAACCUGGGAAGAGUAAUCUCAGCAGCUGUGUGCAUUUUAGGUUUGUUUGUUUUUUAAUAAAGAAUUCCUUUUAACGUGUCUGAGCAGGUCUUGGACAAGGACUCUGUCAAUAGCUUUUUUGUUGCACAACAGCAUCAGAAUCACCAUGUAAGGGGGAACGUUUAUUGGGAGCUUAUCUCAUGAACAAAAAACCUGACUGCACGCCAUUGGGAUGCAGCCGGGUUGCUGGAUGCAGGCGGGAAUUAUUGCAUGUAAUUCGCCACCAGUUCCGCCAGGCAAGUGCACCCUGGCUGCAUCCCAGCUUUGAAAAAAAGACUCUGAAGCACGCCUGGGAUGCAGCCAGGCUGCACUUGCCGAACAAAAUCAGCGGCGAAUUAUGUGCGAUAAUUUCCACCUGCAACCUGGCUGCAUCCUGUUGUUAUUAUGAGGCAGUCAGGUUUUUUGUCCAUGUGAUGAGCUCCUUGCUGUUGUUGUGUGCCUCCAAGUCAUAAGGCCUAUCACAGGGUUUUCUUGGCAAGUUUCUUGACGGGGGUUGCCAUUCCCAUCCUGUGAGUCUGAGAGAGUGUGACUUGUCCAAGUUCACCCAAUGGUUUGCCGUGGCUGAGCUGGGAUUCAAACCCUGGUCUCCAGAGUCAUAGUCCAACAUUCAAUGUAUUCUAAUCUCCCCUCCUUGUCAAGAGAGGCAGAGUUCUUCAAAAUUUGUUCAGACUUUUGGAGAGGUAAUAACAGCUGAAAUGUGACUGUAAAUUGGGGAUAGGCAGCAUGUACCCCUUCCAAUGUUGCUGAACUACAAUACUCAUCAACCAUUAUCAGUGGCUAUCCUUGGCCAAUGGGGAGUGCAUCAUCGGAAAGCUUAGAGGUUGUCCAUUGCUAUUAUAAAUAUUACCAUUUGGAUCUAAAAUAAUGUAACAUGUCAAUAUCAACAAUUUUAUACAUUCAGCUAUGCACUGUCAAAAUUAUAUAUCCUCAAUGUGCCUUGUUGUGUAUUCACACAAUUAAUAUCUUCUUUGUAUGGCUCUGUGGUUAAUGUGUGUAGUAGAAUGAGAUAGUAGGAUAGACUCAACCACUUUGGAUUACAAAUGGGGAAGCUUUUGAAAGUGGCAUCCCUCUUGGAAAAAAAAAAAAACACCUCCUUGUCAGCUGAAAAUGAAUACACAACCAGGAAGAUGCUAACAUAGUUCCUGAAAUGCUGGGCUUUCUGUUUAAAUUGGAGAUCUGAAGUGGUGUUGUCAGUUCAAGUGCCUCACCAUUUGACACUUUCCUAAGGCAUGGGAAGAGAUGUAGACCUAAAUCCUAUUGCUAGUCCUGACUACAGUAAACCCAUUUGAUCUAUGUUAUUUUAUCUAUCUGUUGACCUGCCAUCAUUUAAUAUGUCUAUUCUAGAGGGAACUAACAACAGGAUGCCACCCAGUGUGUCCUUUCAUUCUACCCAUUUAUAUCAUACCCUCCAACUGCCCCAAUUUGGCAGAGAAGUCCCUGUUACUUCUCUGUCAUCCCACUUUUCCAGCUGCUUUGAAAAUGUCCCAGUUUCUCUCCUCCACCUGCUAUGUCCUCAGCUUAUGUCAGUUGCUGCAAAUUGAUGUCAAAGUAGUUUGCACUCAGUUCAGCAUGGGAGAGAGGAGAGGAGGGAGUGGAGUUUUGCACUCUCUAGUAGGGUCAGGCACACUCAAACUGCUGCAGAAUCUCCUAACUUGUGAGUUGUUCUUCAAUAUUUUUGCUGCCUUGACUACAAUCUGAUGCUGUUUGACUAUAUAUAUCCUGUUUUUCAUCUGUGAAAUGUGGAUGGGCAUGUUAUACCACUAUGAUUCCACUUUAACUGCCAUGAUUCCAUCGUGUGCAAUACAUCUUUGGGAUCUACAGUUUCUGGAGGGAUACUGACCAUUUCUGCCAGAGAGCUCUAGUGUAACUGCAGGAGGCUAGGAGGCUGCAUUGACUUCUGCUGGAGACCACAAAGGGCUGCACCUCCACUGCAUAAAAUCACAUGUUAAUUUGUUUUGGCUUCUGAAUGCCCCAAACACUGAGAGGUAUAGGGAUAUUUUUUUUGCCAUGUUUUCAUAUCUUCAGUGCUUACAGAAGAAAGCAAGAUUCUGCCCCUUCUUCUCUCUUCAUUGAAUUAAUUGAGUGCAAACUACUUUUGCUCAUUGAAUUUCAUUUGCAGCAGCUGAAGUAAGCUGAGGACAAAAGGGGAAAGUGAGAGGAGGACAGAAACUGGGACAGUUGAAAAGCAUAUGAAAAAGUGGGAUGACAGAGGAUUAAUCAGGACUAUCCCUGCCAAAUCAGGACAGUUUGAGGGUAUGUGUUUUUGCUCAACCAGACCAUUUUAGGUGCAGGGAAGCUGGCUUCUUUUUCUUUUUUGCUAAAGGGAAGUGACUUCCGGCUCCCUAUUUUUUAAAAGAGGCUUCUCCUGGACCAAAAUGACCCAGGGGAGCCUAGCAGGCAUUUUUUAAAAAUGAUUUUUUAACCACUUGGGAAACCCUGGGAUGCCACAAAAAUGUUUUGAGGGCUUGUAUUGGCCCAUGGGCUGUGUUUUGCCUACCCCUACACCAGACUACAAAUCGCAGGAUUUCAUAGGAUGCAGCCAUGACACUUAAAGUGAAUUCAUAACUGGGUAAUGUGAAGGGAAUCCUGGUUACUCCAACACAAACACCAAUCCCCACCUUGCUUAGCUGCACUGUACUUUUAUGGAAGUUAAUGGACUAUACAGUUCAUAAUUUAGAAGGCUCUACUGCGUUUCAACAGAAAAUAAGUUCUCUCAUCCCUUACAUGUUCUCUUAUUGUGAGUUUUUAAAUAUAUAUAUAUAUAUAUAUAUAUAUAUAUUCCCAAACAAUGGUCUGUUGGGAUUUUUUUAUUAAAAUAUUUCUAUUAGUGAA